rnacentral:rRNA from 1 species
CCUACGGGAGGCUGCAGUCGGGAAUAUUGCUCAAUGGACGAAACUCUGACGCAGUCACGCCGCGUAUAGGAAGAAGGUUUUCUGAUUUUUAACUAUCUUCUUUAGGGAAGUUAAAAGACUGUACCUAAGGAGUAAGCACCGACUAACUAUGUGACAGCAGCCUCGGUAAUACAUAGGGGGCAAGCGUUAUCCGGAAUUAUUGGGUGUAAAGGGUGCGUAGACGGAAGAACAAGUCGGUUGUGAAAUCUCUCGGCUCAACUGAAGAAUUGCAACUAAAACUAUUAUCCUUGAGUGUCGGAGAGGAAAGUGGAAUUCCUAGUGUAGCGGUGAAAUGCGUAGAUAUUACGAAGAACACCAGUGGCGAAGGCGACUUUCUGGACGAUAACUGACGUUGAGGCACGAAAGUGUGGGGAGCAAACAGGAUUAGAUACCCUUGUAGUC